GACGAACGCUGGCGGCGUGCCUCAUACAUGCAAGUAGGACGCAGUUGCGAACGGGUGAGUAACGCGUAGGUAACUACCACUUAGAGGGGGAUAACUCUUGGAAACCAUAGCUAAUACCGCAUACUAGUAGAUGGACCUUCGUUGUAUUAGCUAGUAGGUAGGGUAAUGGCCUACCUAGGCAACGAUACAUAGCCGAACUGUGAGGGUGAUCGGCAACACAGGGACUGAGACACGGCCCAGAAUCAUACGGGAGGCAGCAGUAGGGAAUCUUAGGAAAUGGGGGUAACCCUGAACGAGCAACGCCGCGUGAGGGAAGAAGGUUUUCGGAUCGUAAAGCUCUGUUGUUAAGGAAGCGGUACUUAACCAGAAAGGGACGGCUAACUACGUGCCAGCAGCCGCGGUAAUAC
rnacentral:rRNA from 1 species